GCCCUCUAAGGGUCGCACCUGGAGAGUUUCCAGUACUCUACCAGUCUCGAUUACGGGAGGAAGAGUGAAGCAGAGGCCUAGCCAUUCCAUUCCCAGCUUGGGCAGUGGCUAGUGAAUGGAAGGCCAUCUGCUACAAGU